UUCAUAGCUCCGUGGUAAGCAUGCAUUUCUGUACCGCCGGACCACCGGGGAAGCUGCUAGCUCGGAUGACUGCUCUUUCUUGAUUUCUCUGAUCUUAUGUGAUAUAUGCCUCUCUUCUUUAUCUCUGAAACUAGAUCAAAUAUUAGCCUCGUGGGAUGGCUUAUUCGGACGUCAGCGUGGUUUUUGAGAUCCGUGCGCUUGAAAAAAUGACAAAUAAUUUUUCCGACGAGAAACUAGUUGGCAGUGGUGGGUAUGGGGCUGUUUACAAGGGAGUGCGUGAAGAUGGGAAAGAAAUUGCAGUGAAGAAGCUUCAUCAAUUGAUAGGACUUGAUGAUAAGCCAUUUAACAAUGAAUUCCAUACCCUUAUCAAUAUAAACCAUCCAAAUGUUGUACAACUAAUUGGUUACUGCUAUGAGUCACGGAGAAAUUACAAGAAGCACAACAAUGAAACAAUUACUGCUAUAGUAAAGGAGCGAAUUCUCUGCUUCGAAUACAUGCACGGUGGUAGCCUUGACAAACAUAUUGGAGCUGAUAUGUGCGACCUUGAUUAGCCCAUAUGUUACAACAUUAUUAGAAGGACCUCUGACGGUUUAAAUCACCUUCAUAACGAACAGAACAGUCCUAUUUUCCAUCUGGAUUUAAAGCCAUCAAAUAUUCUGCUGGACAGGAACUUGACACCCAAAAUUGCAGAUCUUGGUUUAUCCAGAAUUGUAGCCAAUACGAAAACCCAUUAUACAGAGAGCGCCAAGGAAGGAACGCUGGGGUACAUGCCGCCAGAAUACAUUAAGGGUUCUGCUAUAUCAAAGAAGUUUGACGUGUUCAGUUUGGGAGCUAUAAUUAUAAGAAUAGUGGAUGGAAACAAGUGUGACUUGCGCUAUUCUUCUAUGGAUGCCCAACAAUUUAUUAAGCAAGUAAGAGAAAAGUGGGAGAGAAGGCUGCAGGGAAGGUCGAGUUAUCAAUCACAUGAAAAAGACAUAGUGCAAGUUAACAAAUGUCUUGAAAUAGCAUUACGAUGUGUGGACGAUGACAGAACUAAAAGGCCUGCUAUAAAGGAUAUUGUCAGUGAACUGGAAGAACUAGAAGCAGAGAUUAAGAAAAUGUCACCCCAUUCUGAUAAGUCAAAAGACCCAAUUGGUCAGGUAUGAUUACUCUGAGGGCAUGGAUGUUCUCCUUAUCACCUGCAACAUGCCUUCUUUAGCAAAAUACGAAAGAUCAAUGGUCUUAGUUUGGCCCUAACGGCGGCCGUCGCCA